GACGAACGCUGGCGGCGUGCCUAAUACAUGCAAGUAGAACGCUGAAGAGAGGAGCUUGCUCUUCUUGGAUGAGUUGCGAACGGGUGAGUAACGCGUAGGUAACCUGCCUUGUAGCGGGGGAUAACUAUUGGAAACGAUAGCUAAUACCGCAUAACAAUGGAUGACACAUGUCAUUUAUUUGAAAGGGGCAAUUGCUCCACUACAAGAUGGACCUGCGUUGUAUUAGCUAGUGGGUGAGGUAAUGGCUCACCUAGGCGACGAUACAUAGCCGACCUGAGAGGGUGAUCGGCCACACUGGGACUGGGACACGGCCCAGACUCCUACGGGAGGCAGCAGUAGGGCAUCUUCGGCAAUGGGGGCAACCCUGACCGAGCAACGCCGCGUGAGUGAAGAAGGUUUUCGGAUCGUAAAGCUCUGUUGUAAGUCAAGAACGGGUGUGAGAGUGGAAAGUUCACACUGUGACGGUAGCUUACCAGAAAGGGACGGCUAACUACGUG
rnacentral:rRNA from 1 species